UACGGAGGGUGCAAGCGUUAUCCGGAUUCACUGGGUUUAAAGGGUGCGUAGGAGGGCAGGUAAGUCAGUGGUGAAAUCUCCGAGCUUAACCUGGAAACUGCCGUUGAUACUAUCUGCCUUGAAUAUUGUGGAGGUGAGCGGAAUAUGUCAUGUAGCGGUGAAAUGCUUAGAUAUGACAUAGAACACCAAUUGCGAAGGCAGCUCGCUACACAUAUAUUGACUCUGAGGCACGAAAGCGUGGGGAUCAAACAGG
rnacentral:rRNA from 1 species